UGUGCAGGAUCAGGACGUCUUACGUGAUUGGGACGUGGAGAAAGAUCUUGGCGUUAACAAAGGGUAAGUCUUGUUUUUGUUUUACUUUUGUUAAUUCUUUUUUUAUUGGUUGAUUAUCUUUGUGCAUUCUUGUGUGAUUUUGUAAGGAGGGUAGUUUUCGACAUUGUUUUUGGAAGAGCAAUGUUAGUGUAUAAGUAAAGUUGGUUUGUUUUCGAAUAGCAAUGGUUGUUCAACUGAGAUCACUAGCCCCCAUUGCAUUAGUGGUUGCAUCAAAACUAUCUUACAAUAGGAUUAUCCGAUGUUCAAUCAUUUUACAUAUCAAUCAGUACCUUGAUGGUUCAACCCCAAGAGUGCUGGAUGCUAACACAUAAAUAGCCUGCCAGUGAGAACAGAUCAAUUUAAAUCAUUAACCCUCAUCUUUGUAGGUUUUCACCUGUUGGAAAUGACAUAUCUACAUAAGAUGAGUAUAGUCCACCACAAAUGUUGGGAAUGAUGGCUAGGCUUUUGACAUAUUACAAAAAAUGAGAUGAUACAAACUCCAAGAGGCUUCCAGAGAAGGCCUAUUUUAUUGACAUAAGCAGGAAGCAUACCGGAUCAGGCUUUUUAUGCGGAACCACAUCUCCUGCGAAUAUCUGGAUUUGUUCUGAUCUCGCAGGCCCCAAGAGGAAUGAAACUAUAGCAGAGACCUGUAAAGGCCACAUGAAAUUUAUAUCAGUUGUACUACACCCGAGUACAUAUGGAUUAUAAUCUUCAAGUUAAGUAACUUUAGAAAAUUAAGUAAAUAACAAACACUAUCAUAACUGCAUAAGAAAAUAAGAUGGAUAAAGAAGCCUUGUGAAAUUUCUUGGGCGUCAAAUGAAGUCAUUUAUUACUACUCAAGUGCUUGAACAAUAAUUCUUACUACUAUAUGGUAUGUAAUAAUCGAGGAGGGACCCUGACCAUAAAAUUCAGUCCAACUAUAGUUUUCUAUAUUCAAAAUUUUGUAC
rnacentral:lncRNA from 1 species